rnacentral:misc_RNA from 1 species
AGCAGCCGCGGUAAUUCCAGCUCCAAUAGCGUAUAUUAAAGUUGUUGCAGUUAAAAAGCUCGUAGUUGAAUUUCGGGAUCAAUAUGUUGGUCGUGCCUUGGUACGUACUGGCGUCAUUGAUUUCUACCUUCUGAAGAACCUCGAUGUCAUUAAUUUGGUGUCUUGGGGAAUCAGGACUGUUACUUUGAAAAAAUUAGAGUGUUUAAAGCAAGCUCACGCUUGAAUACAUUAGCAUGGAAUAAUGAAAUAGGACGUUUGAUUCUAUUUUGUUGGUUUCUAGGAUCGACGUAAUGAUUAAUAGGGAUAGUUGGGGGCAUUAGUAUUCAAUUGUCAGAGGUGAAAUUCUUGGAUUUAUUGAAGACUAACUACUGCGAAAGCAUUUUGCCAAGGAUGUUUUCAUUAAUCAAGAACGAAAGUUAGGGGAUCGAAGACGAUCAGAUACCGUCGUAGUCUUAACCAUAAACUAUGCCGACUAGGGAUCGGAUGAUGUUAAUUUUUUAAUGACUCAUUCGGCGCCUUA